CAUCAUCUUGUCGGCCCAUGAAGAUGUGCUUAUCGAUGAGGGUCGAAAGGUUACUGGUCAGAAAGCAGGCAGGAUGGUGCGGUUUGAUUGGUAUUGGAAUUCACUUCAGUGAAAGAAUGGUGUUUUAAUUAUGAGCAUGAAGUCUCGACUGAAGACGCCUCUUACUGAAUCUCCCACCAGUUCUCAGAAGCUGACUCGUGCUUAAAUUUCUGAAUCUGCUAUUAUUGCAAUUAUGAUUUUUCUUCUCAAAACCGAAGCUUCCGCUCUCUCUCUGCAGCGAAAUUCGAGAUGCUGCUGGGGUGUUACUAUCUUUGGCUCAAAUAUAGCAGCAAAAGAUUGACUCGGAAUCAUUCAUGUCUCAUGUCUGACUAUUCGGAACAAUGAGGAGGCUACAAUAUUAGUCGACAGAGGGUAUGUUAUGCGGUUUUGACAAAGAUGUGUGACGAGUUCCAAACUCCGCUUAAAAGUUGUGGAUAGCAAGCUUGAUCAAUUAGCUGAACAUAAG